rnacentral:precursor_RNA from 9 species
AACAGUACGGGCUACACGUCCUCUCUCAUCAGGGAGUUUGCUCGCCAUGCUUAUGGCUCUGAACCUAUAAACUGGCCUGCAAAAUCCCUUCUGACGUGGGGACAUUGAGCAAACCCGUGAU